rnacentral:rRNA from 1 species
CAGUCAUACCAACGGGAAAUCAACCUUUUGAGCUCGGUCUCGUGGGUUUUGAAGAGUUUCAAAGCCUUCGGAUUCGCGAGAUUGGGAUCUCUCGGUGUACUUUCUCGUACGGUUAGUCAACAUCGGUUUUGAAUGUCAUAAAAUGACUGGAGGAAUGUAGCUUCGAUCUCGUAUUGAAGUGUUAUAGCCUUUGGUAGAUGUGAUGUUUGAGACCGAGGAUUGCAACGGAUACCCUUCAGGGCUAUUCGUCUGAUCUCUGAUACGUUGCCCUGAUGUUGAAAGCUUGCUUAUGAUGUUAGGGUAUUACGGUCAAAAGGUUAGAACGAAUUACA